UACGGAGGUUGCAAGCGUUAUUCGGAAUUACUGGGCGUAAAGCGCACGCUGGCGGUCUGUCAAGUCGGAUGUGAAAUCCCCGAGCUUAACUUGGGAAUUGCAUUCGAUACUGGGAAGCUAGAGUAUGGGAGAGGAUGGUAGAAUUCCAGGUGUAGCGGUGAAAUGCGUAGAGAUCUGGAGGAAUACCGGUGGCGAAGGCGGCCCCCUGGACAAAGACUGACGCUCAGGUGCGAAAGCGUGGGGAGCAAACAGG
rnacentral:misc_RNA from 1 species